ensembl:snRNA U6 U6 spliceosomal RNA
GUGCUCACUUUGGCCGCACGUAUACUAACAUUGGCCCAAGACAGAGAAGGUUAGUGUGGCCUGUGCACAAGGAUGAUGCCCACACCCACGCUUUGCUCUCUGUGUGU